GAACAAAUACAGCUUACAAAACAAGCUCCGUGCUAACAGAAGUGUUCUUGCUGCUGCCAGCCGGUUCUUUUCCAUCCUGUUACCUGAUUGUGAGUUAGACCUAGAUGUCUGCAUCUCAAUUGAUCUGAGCUUUGAAGAACUGUUUUGUGUUCUUGAGUACAUCUAUUCUGGG